UUCGUUGGUUUUUAUCGGUUCUGGUCGAUGCCCAUUCCUUUAAUAAUUUAUUCGGUUCAACAAUCAGAUCAGAUCUCAUUCCCAAUUUGACUAGCUAGUUCGAUCUGGUUUUUAAACACGGAUCCUAAUAUAGGAGCAUUGUUUAUGUGGUAUGUGCUUCCAUUGCUCCGCGAUUUGUGAAAGCUCAAGAAGGGUGAAGUGAAAAUAUUGUAUGACCCCUCU
rnacentral:lncRNA from 1 species